rnacentral:lncRNA from 1 species
CUCUUCCACAAUGCCACUGGGGCUGAAAAUGUUACUGUACAUAGUCUGUACAGUGACUAUGAUCUGAAAAGCCUCAUCUCAAACAGCACCUGUUGGAGGCUUCCUGUUACCUGAGGGAGGGAAGAAGCACUCCCUAAAGUACUAGCUCUUUCCAUGUCUGGAAUUUGGAGGUAUCCACCUUCAUGAACAUGACAGAGUCUGUUCGUGUAAAAACCUCGCCUGAGGCAUUUGAGGAGAUCCUGCUACAGCCUAAAGUUUUUCUAUCCCGAUGCCAGUCAUCUUUCAGGAUUCCAUUUGUGCCAUACACAACAGAUGAAUCACUUCUAGUUGUGUAUCUUGAUAAUCUCACCUGCCAUCACUGAUACAAAGCUUGCCACAAUGCCAAGAACUGAGAGCAGUGAAACGGCACUGGAACACAUAAAUGUCAGAAGAUAUGCUUGAAGCGACUGAAUGAUUACUGAGAUAAGGAAAGAGUGGGAGCUGGGACAACAUUUCAAAGAGACAGGAGACUAUUAUAUAAGCCUCAAAUGUGCCAGGAUGUGCAUCUUCAAACUGGAAGUUAAGACGUGAGAAAAUGGAAGACUGAGACAU